rnacentral:rRNA from 1 species
GAUGAACGCUGGCGGCGUGCCUAAUACAUGCAAGUCGAGCGAACAGACGAGGAGCUUGCUCCUCUGACGUUAGCGGCGGACGGGUGAGUAACACGUGGAUAACCUACCUAUAAGACUGGGAUAACUUCGGGAAACCGGAGCUAAUACCGGAUAAUAUAUUGAACCGCAUGGUUCAAUAGUGAAAGACGGUUUUGCUGUCACUUAUAGAUGGAUCCGCGCCGCAUUAGCUGGUUGGUAAGGUAACGGCUUACCAAGGCAACGAUGCGUAGCCGACCUGAGAGGGGGAUCGGCCACACUGGAACUGAGACACGGUCCAGACUCCUACGGGAGGCAGCAUUAGGGAAUCUUCCGCAAUGGGCGAAAGCCUGACGGAGCAACGCCGCGUGAGUGAUGAAGGUCUUCGGAUCGUAAAACUCUGUUAUUAGGGAAGAACAAAUGUGUAAGUAACUAUGCACGUCUUGACGGUACCUAAUCAGAAAGCCACGGCUAACUACGUG